CCUACGGGAGGCAGCAGUAAGGAAUAUUGGUCAAUGGACGCAAGUCUGAACCAGCCAUGCCGCGUGAAGGAUUAAGGCCCUCUGGGUUGUAAACUUCUUUUAUAGGGGACGAAAAAAGGGCAUUCUUGCUCACUUGACGGUACCCUAGGAAUAAGCACCGGCUAACUCCGUGCCAGCAGCCGCGGUAAUACGGAGGGUGCAAGCGUUAUCCGGAUUUACUGGGUUUAAAGGGUGCGUAGGUGGGUUGGUAAGUCAGUGGUGAAAUCUUCGAGCUUAACUCGGAAACUGCCAUUGAUACUAUCAAUCUUGAAUCAUCUAGAGGUAAGCGGAAUAUGUCAUGUAGCGGUGAAAUGCUUAGAUAUGACAUAGAACACCAAUUGCGAAGGCAGCUUACUAUGGAUGUAUUGACACUGAGGCACGAAAGCGUGGGGAUCAAACAGGAUUAGAUACCCUGGUAGUCCACGCCCUAAACGAUGGAUACUCGACAUUUGUGAUAUAUUAUAAGUGUCUGAGCGAAAGCAUUAAGUAUCCCACCUGGAAGUACGACCGCAAGGUUGAAACUUAAAUGAAUGACGG
rnacentral:rRNA from 1 species